UCCCCUAGUAACUGCGAGUGAAGCGGGAAGAGCUCAAAUUUAAAAUCUGGCAGUCUUCUGGCUGUCCGAGUUGUAAUCUGGAGAAGCGUUUUCUGUGUUAGACCGUGUACAAGUCUCCUGGAACGGAGCGUCAUAGAGGGUGAGAAUCCCGUCCAUGACACGGACUACUAAUACUUUGUGAUACGCUCUCGAAGAGUCGAGUUGUUUGGGAAUGCAGCUCAAAAUGGGUGGUAAAUUCCAUCUAAAGCUAAAUACAGGCGAGAGACCGAUAGCGAACAAGUACCGUGAGGGAAAGAUGAAAAGCACUUUGGAAAGAGAGUUAAACAGUACGUGAAAUUGUUGAAAGGGAAACGCUUGAAGUCAGUCGCGUUGUGCAGAACUCAGCCUUGCCUCGGCUUGGUGUACUUUCUGCACAACGGGUCAACAUCAAUUUUGGCUCAUGCAGAAAGGUGGGGGGAAUGUAGCGCUGUUUCGGCCGCGUGUUAUAGCCCUCUAUUGUAUACAUGGGCUGGGAUUGAGGAUCGCAGCACGCCCUUGUGGCCGGGGGUUCGCCCUACGUACCGUGCUU
rnacentral:rRNA from 1 species